rnacentral:rRNA from 1 species
UAUUGGUCAAUGGGCGGGAGCCUGAACCAGCCAAGCCGCGUGAGGGAAUAAGGCCCUAUGGGUCGUAAACCUCUUUUGUCGGGGAACAAAAGCGGUGACGCGUCUCCGUUUGCGUGUACCCGAAGAAAAAGCAUCGGCCAACUCCGUUCCAGCAGCCGCGGUAAUACGGAGGAUGCGAGAGUUAUCCGGAUUUAUUGGGUUUAAAGGGGGCGUAGGCGGUAUGGUAAGUCAGCGGUAAAAGCCCGGGGCUCAACCCCGGCGAGCCGUUGAAACUGCCGUGCUAGAGAGGAAGAGAAGUAGGCGGAAUGCGCAGUGUAGCGGUGAAAUGCUUAGAUAUUGCGCAGAACUCCGAUUGCGAAGGCAGCCUACCGGCUUCUGUCUGACGCUGAGGCACGAAAGCGUGGGUAUCG